CGGCUGGAUAAAACUGGAGCCAGCCGCCUCUGAAUUACUGUCAACUCUAGUGGUUGUCUCUUUUAUUGGGCCUAAGACGCCCGUAUCCUGUUGGGACAAUCUGUGGGAGAAACUCAGAUCUUACCUGGUGGAACUCAGGAUAGACUGCCAGACUAGAGACCGGGAGAGGUGUGCGGUAUUCUCGACGUAGGGGAAAAAUCCUGUCAUCCUAAGAGGACCACCAGUUUCGAAGGCUCCGCACUGGAACACAUCCCACGGUCAGGGACGAAACCUAGGGGCACAAACCGGAUUAUAUACCCGGGUAGUCCUAUGUGUAAACGCUGUGAACUUGGUGUCGGGAAUCCGCAAUGGGCCCCCGGUGCCGGAGUGAAGAUGUUAAGUUCACUGCCUGGGGAGUACGGUCGCAAGGCUGAAACUUAUAGGAAUUGGCGGGGGGAGCAC
rnacentral:rRNA from 1 species